rnacentral:sRNA from 1 species
UGCCGAGCGGGUGUCCGCACUGAGUUCGGCAUCGAUAUGGGGAUCCCCGGGGAAGCUCGCGGUCCCCAGGUUGCCUAAGGAGGGGUGAACCGGCCCAGGUCGGAAACGGAGCAGGUCAAAGCUCCCGUGCCGAUCAGUAGUGGGAUCGCGCCUGUGAAUGGCCCCUGCAGCGUAGCCUGGGCGAGACAGUGAGACCCGGUCUCUU